AAUUGUCUGGUAUCCUAACCAGGGUCCAUAUAAGAUUUUGGGGUCCACGCAACAAAUUAGUAAAUUGGGAAUCUACAAUAGUAUUUUAAAGGUCCCUGAAAAAAUUUUGCUUUAG